UAAGACAAGCAGGAAGAUGGAGCUGUUGACGUGGAUUGGUUCCUGGAAGAGACUGUCCUCUGUCUGUCUGAACACGCUCACUCUGAUAUUGGUUAUCUCUUCGAUGAGUCUUGUUUGCCUACCUUCAGACUCCCAGAGCUGCAUGGUGAGGUUUGUCUCUCCUGGGAACGUCUUCAGGUUGAUGGUGAAGUCUGUGAAGUCCAGGGAGGUCUUGGUCACAUUCACCACCUGCAGCACUGUAGGAUCCUCCAACUUCACAAGCAGGUAGCUGGAGUGAGGCCGCUUACCUUCAUAGCUGGACCUUACAAUGACGGUUUCUUCUGGCUUCGUAAACGACAGCAUUUCUGGAUUUUGUAUAUUCAGAAAUCUGAGAAAUGACUUCCUUGCUUCUCCCGGGGUCACCAACAAAAGGAGAAUUAUGAAAAGUUUUCCAGACAUUUUGAAAGUUUAAACAAACCAUGUGUGCCAACCCGGUUUUAUUAAAAAACAAAAGAUCAUUUUUUCUUACAGGUCUUCAGUCACUGAAGGCGCAAAUGUGAGUUAGGUAACAGUUAGGUUUGGUCGGUCAAGGUCCAGGAGGAGGGCUGUUGUACUUCAAACCCGCAUAAAGCUAUCGAGUGAGCCAAGUGACACAACCAGUUUAACUUGUAGUUAAGAAAACAUAAAAAUAAACCCUUGCAUUUAACAGGUGUCUCUUACAACAAACAAAAAACCUAAUCUCUCUUCCUGAGUUCCUUAUUACCUGAGGAAAAACACUUGGAGUUAUUACUUUUGGUCCUCAGAAAAAUAAUAAAAUAAAAGCAGCCAGGGAGAACAAAACAAAACAAAACCCCUAAGACAGAUAUCAUGACUUGAAUCUGUAUGACUAUUCCAUCAAGAAAGAGGCAAAUGGCCUAACUACACACUGGUGUGACAGGAGAGUGUGUGGUGGGGAGGGAAU
rnacentral:lncRNA from 1 species